CUCUGGUUGUGCUGCUCCUGUGUAACUCUGUUCACCAGCAUCCUACCAAGAUGACACAAUUCUGGGGAGACUUACUUCCAUCUGGUCUUAUAGGAACUUUCUAUUGCAAGUAUUCGUUCCCAGCUGCUGUAUUCAUUCAUUGAAGUUCAUUACCAGAUWAUAAGAUACAAAGUCCAUCAGUAUCUGUUAGUAGUUUGGUGUUUUCUAAAGUCGGUUCAUCUCCAGUGUUUGGUGUUUGUUCAAUCCUGACCUCUGAUCACAGCAGUCCAGGAAACCAGCUUCACAUCAGGACAGUAAACAUUCUGAUAGAUUUUUGCUGAUCUGAUUUGUUUGCCWCAGUGAAAGUUAUGCUUUGACAUACAGUUGACUAUUUCUUCACUUCUUUUUCCAGAGAAAUGUUCAGUAAUAAUUAACUGAUCUUGGUCCYUGACUCUUCAUUCUCUGGGYGAUUUGAUUCCUGASAACAUGGAGGUGAGGUGUCUUGAAUUUGCUCUUCUGCUUUGGGUUCCUGGACUGCUGCAUGGUAAGUAAUGAACAUCUGAUAUGGRAUAUUUYUGAAGUUGUGUCUGAUUUUUGUCUGUUGUGGACRAUCAGCUCAAKKUCCACAGCCUUGCAGCGCUCCGAGCCUGGAUGCAGGUUCUUUACAUCCGGUGCAGGAAUCAUAUYSUCAUGGAACAAAGAUCAGUUAUUCCUGCAAUGAUGGAUACAAAGCAGAGGGAAAAGGCUGGUGGGGAACAAGCAGAUGUCUAGAUGGUUUAUGGYUCCGUAUCCCAGUCUGUAUUGAAAGUCCUCCAACCUGCAGCCAGCCUCCUAGGAGCCCCAAUGCCUUCAUCAUUAAUCAGGAUUUUCAGGAGGUAUUUACUCUAGACUCAGAGGUGGAGUAUCAGUGUAAAGAUGGAUWCACAACAAAGGAAGGAGCCACCAAGMAAUCUGUCUUUUGUAGAGCUGGAGUUUGGACAGACGUCCCAACAUGUGGUGGGUGGAGAGCAUUCAGAAMUAUGCAGAACCUGACAAGAAUAUUUACAACCCAAACUUUUUAACAUUUGGUCCAGUUACAAUCACAAAAUACAAUGUGUUUUUGUUUGCUAGGACACAAUGUCUUUAAACCUUAUKGUGAAAAAAAAAAGAAUCUAAAAAGUGCGUUUGUAUUCAACCUUCUUUACGCCAGUUUCCAUCUGAAUGGUGACUGGAGUCUACCUGUGUGUCAGUUAAUGUCAGUAUACACUCAGCAGUUUUAUGAAGGCAUUGGASGUUCGUUAGAAAACACARUGAACAAACAACAUCAUGAGGACCAAAGARCAUAGCAGACAGGACAUGGAGAAAGUUGUGGAAUAAUUUAAAACGGUUGUGCAACUUUGACAAAAGUCAAAAUCAUGAAGUUCAGGAAUGUCACAAGUUAUAUUAUUGAUAUAUAUAAGUAGUAGUGACAGUAGUUUCUAACAGGAGCAACGUCAUUUGAAAUACAAGUGUCAGAGCUAUUACAAGUUAGUGGGUCCUGAAACAGUGGUGUGUCACAGAGGUGGCACAUGGUCCGAACUCCCCAAAUGCAAAGAGGACUUCUGUCUUCUGAACACUGCAGAGAAUCCUGAUCUAAUAAAUACUGGCAAUACAUUUAUCAGAAAUGGGAAAACGGAGUACCCAAAAUGUGUUGAUAGAUGGACGUUUAAUCAUUACGUUGUGGCUCGGUGCAUCGAAGGAAGACUCCGUGUAUCUGAAUGCUGCUCCUGGGCCAAGAUACAAUUAAAUGCAUGCUGAGGCACCACUGGGAAAAUAUCUGACUUCCCUGUGCUGAGCUGAUGGACUGAGAACAAAUGGAAACAUGAACCCAUUUGAAACAACUUGAGACUGAAUGUGUUGCUAACAACCAGGCUGGAUAUUUUCAUUCUGCUCUACCACAGUGUAGCACAUUCUGUAUUUAGAUUGUUCCAGUAGCAUUGCUAUAGUUAUGCGUUUCAUACAGAGAAUUGUAAAAGCUCUGUCUGAGUUGGUCUCUGUGGUCUGCAACAGCUACUUAAUAAAACAUUUCGACUUUAA